rnacentral:rRNA from 1 species
AACUUGGGACCGGGAGAGGCAAGAGGUACUUUUGGGGUAGGGGUAAAAGUCCUGUAAUCCUAAAAGGACCACCGGUGGCGAAGGCGUCUUGCUAGAACGGAUCCGACGGUGAGGGACGAAGCCCUGGGUCGCAAACGGGAUUAGAUACCCCGGUAGUCCAGGGUGUAAACGCUGCAGACUUGGUGUUGGGACCCUUCGGGGUGUUCAGUGCCGGAGAGAAGUUGUUAAGUCUGCUACUUGGGGAGUACGUCCGCAAGGAUGAAACUUAAAGGAAUUGGCGGGGGAGCAACCCGCAACGGGAGGAACGUGCGGUUUAAUUGGAUUCAACAACCGGAAAACUCACCAGCAGCGACUAUUACAUGAAAGUCAGGCCGAUGACCUUACUAGAUUUUUAGAGGAGUGGUGCAUGG